rnacentral:tRNA from 1 species
GCCGGUGUAGCUCAAUGGCAGAGCAGCCGCCUUGUAAGCGGCAGGUUGUAGGUUCGACUCCUAUCGCCGGCU